rnacentral:rRNA from 1 species
UAACAAGGAUUCCCCUAGUAACUGCGAGUGAAGCGGGAAAAGCUCAAAUUUGAAAUCUGGCGUGCCUCUGGUCGUCCGAGUUGUAGUCUGGAGAAGCGUCUUCCGUGCUGGACCGUGUACAAGUCCCUUGGAACAGGGCGUCAUAGAGGGUGAGAAUCCCGUCUUUGACACGGACUACCAGCGCUUUGUGAUGCGCUCUCAACGAGUCGAGUUGUUUGGGAAUGCAGCUCAAAAUGGGUGGUAAAUUCCAUCUAAAGCUAAAUAUAGGCGAGAGACCGAUAGCGAACAAGUACCGUGAGGGAAAGAUGAAAAGCACUUUGGAAAGAGAGUUAAACAGUACGUGAAAUUGCUGAAAGGGAAACGCUUGAAGUCAGUCGCGUCUGCCAGGACUCAGCCUCGCUUUUGCUUGGUGCACUUUCUGGUUGAUGGGCCAGCAUCGAUUUCGACCGUCAGAGAAAGUUGGAGGGAACGUGGCACCUUUCGGGGUGUGUUAUAGCCCUUCAUCGCAUGUGACGGUUGGGAUCGAGGAUCGCAGCACGCCCUAACGGGCUGGAGCUCUGCUCACACACGUGCUUAGGAUGCUGGCUUAAUGGCUUUAAGCGACCCGUCUUGAAACACGGACCAAGGAGUCUAACAUGCCUGCGAGUGUUUGGGUGGAAAACCCGAGCGCGUAAUGAAAGUGAUAGUUGAGACCUCUGUCAUGGAGGGCAUCGACGCCUGGACUUGAUCUACGGAGACGGUUCCACGGUAGAGCAUGUAUGUUGGGACCCGAAAGAUGGUGAACUAUGCCUGAAUAGGGUGAAGCCAGAGGAAACUCUGGUGGAAGCUCGUAGCGAUUCUGACGUGCAAAUCGAUCGUCAAAUUUGGGUAUAGGGGCGAAAGACUAAUCGAA